CUACGGGAGGCAGCAGUGGGGAAUAUUGCACAAUGGGCGCAAGCCUGAUGCAGCCAUGCCGCGUGUGUGAAGAAGGCCUUCGGGUUGUAAAGCACUUUCAGCGGGGAGGAAGGCGGUGAGGUUAAUAACCUCAUCGAUUGACGUUACCCGCAGAAGAAGCACCGGCUAACUCCGUGCCAGCAGCCGCGGUAAUACGGAGGGUGCAAGCGUUAAUCGGAAUUACUGGGCGUAAAGCGCACGCAGGGCGGUCUGUCAAGUCGGAUGUGAAAUCCCCGGGCUCAACCUGGGAACUGCAUUCGAAACUGGCAGGCUAGAGUCUUGUAGAGGGGGGUAGAAUUCCAGGUGUAGCGGUGAAAUGCGUAGAGAUCUGGAGGAAUACCGGUGGCGAAGGCGGCCCCCUGGACAAAGACUGACGCUCAGGUGCGAAAGCGUGGGGAGCAAACAGGAUUAGAUACCCGUGUAGUC
rnacentral:rRNA from 1 species